rnacentral:rRNA from 1 species
GUUUUACACAGCGUGAGUGCGAGUUGUUGGCGAAUGCACUUCGCACGAAUUUCAAUCUUGAUGUUCGUGUGUGCAGGUGCAUGAUGCGUGGGAAGUUAUAUUUCAGAUUGUAUGUCACAUCAAAAAGCAUGGAUACAUUCAUGCGAUUGAUUGAUCCGUACAUUCUCCCAUGCUUUCACUAUAAAUUAGUGAAAUUUCGCUAAUACAAAUAAUACCAGCCAGCAGCAGCGGUAAUACAGAGACCACAAGCGUUACCCGGAUUUAUUGGGCUUAAAGCGUCCGCAGGUGGUUUGAUGCAUCUUCUGUUAAAUUCCGAGGCUUAACUUCGGAGCCGCAGAAGAGAUGAUUAAACUGGAGGUUGGGAGAGGCAAGUGGAAUUACCGGUGUAGGGGUAAAAUCCGUUCAUAUCGGUAAGAACACCAAAGGCGAAGGCAGCUUGCUAGAACAAACCUGACACUCAUGGACGAAAGCGUGGGGAGCAAAAAGGAUUAGAUACCCUUGUAGUCCACGCCCUAAACGAUGGAUGCUAGAUAUUGGGAGUAUCGACCCUCUCAGUGUCGUCUUCAUAAGGGAAACCGUUAAGCAUCCCGCCUGGGAAGUACGGUCGCAAGACUAAAACUCAAAGGAAUAGACGGGGACCCGCACAAGCGGUGGAUCAUGUGGUUUAAUUCGACAACAAGCGAGGAACCUUACCAGGACUUGACAUUGCUCUGCAAGCGCACGGAAACGUGUGACCUUCGAGGGUGAGCAACAGGUGCUGCAUGGUUGUCGUCAGCUCGUGCCGUGAACACUAUCGCGGCCUCCCGCAGUAAUGUGGGAUAGGAAUCUGGCUCAUAUCGGUGGAGUUCCAUUCCGCAAGAAUGGAAUAAUACCGAGGGAAGUCGGGUAUCAAAGUGCCAAGUAUGGCAUAUAAGAUACUUUGACCCCGUAACGACUGCGUCCGCAAGGACAAGAUAGAAGGUACCUGAUAAUCAGGAACAAUAAACUUCUAUCACACGCCAGCUCCCGACAUAAAGUCGGGAUGGAGGUAUAGUCUACAUUUGCAAAAUGCAAAUUCGGAGGCGUUCCCUUAAGUGGGGUAACGAGCGCAACCCUUAUUGUCUGUUACUGUGUCAGACGAAACUGCUCCGGUAUACGGAGAGGAAGGAGAGGAUGACGUCAAAUCAGCAUGGCCCUUACGUCCUGGGCUACACACGUGAUACAAUGGCCGGUACAAUGGGGCGCCAAAUCGCAAGAUGGAGCCAAUCCCAUCAAAACCGGUCUCAGUUCGGAUCGGGGGCUGCAACUCGCCCCCGUGAAGCUGGAAUCGCUAGUAAACGCGUAUCAGCCACGGCGCGUUGAAUACGUUCUCGGGUCUUGUACUCAAAAGUAAAGGCGCCUUGCAGCCUUUGAAGCCAAAUUGUUAAAAUCAAUU